AUAGGUGCAAUGAAGAGGAAAAGUAGGUCAGUACGGUCGUCCAGAGAGGAAGCGCCGGGGCUGUAAGCGCUUCCCGAUGCAGCUGACUGAAAAACCACCUUGGAGCAGCUUGCUGAACUUCAGUAAGUAAGCCGGCCCGGCGCCGUUACAGCCGAUGAGGUGGGAGAUUGUUUCUCCAACCAGGGUGGAACCGCGGAAAUAUCCCGUCCCUGAU
rnacentral:ncRNA from 1 species